AAUUUUAUCUAAGCCUUUUGUAAUAACCAAUGCUAUGUCGGUUCAUAUUCUCUCGAAAGAUACAUAAUUGCUCCGAAAAAAACAAAGACAACAAAUUCAUUUGAUUCUCAAUGCAAACCCUUCAAUUCUAAUUUCUCUCCUCUUAAUCUAACUUUUCUUUUCCCGAUCCCUUCUCAUAAAUGUUACUUUUCUCCCAAUUUAUAUAUAAUGGAACAAACAAAAGGACAAAGGAAGCCAGAUCAGAACCAUCCUUUUCUUAACCCAAAUCCUAAACAAAAAAAACACUAAUUUCACAAAAUUAUUGUGCUCGUCUUCUUCGUCAGCUACUCUUCUCACUGAACAUUGCAAAUUUAGAACUACCACCAACUCAUCCAAUUAGGCCCUACCUUGCUCCGAACUUCUCCAUUUUUUACUAUGAAAUCCUUAACUCUCCUGAUCGUGCCUGCAAUCUUGCAAAACAGAACCAAAACCAUCUGAGUUGUAUGGGAAAUAUAUUUGAAAGAUAGAAAAGUUUUCUCAAAUUACCCUAAGGGAACUUUGUAGUAAUGCAUUUGAAAUUGGAAAUAACAAGUGGUAUGUGGCUUUUGGAUUUCAG